AGUGAACGCUGGCGGUAGGCCUAACACAUGCAAGUCGAACGGCAGCACAGUAAGAGCUUGCUCUUACGGGUGGCGAGUGGCGGACGGGUGAGGAAUACAUCGGAAUCUACUUUUUCUUAGGGGAUAACGUAGGGAAACUUACGCUAAUACCGCAUACGACCUACGGGUGAAAGCAGCGGAUCUUCGGACCUUGCGCGAGUGAAUGAGCCGAUGUCGGAUUAGCUAGUUGGCGGGGUAAAGGCCCACCAAGGCGACGAUCCGUAGCUGGUCUGAGAGGAUGAUCAGCCACACUGGAACUGAGACACGGUCCAGACUCCUACGGGAGGCAGCAGUGGGGAAUAUUGGACAAUGGGCGCAAGCCUGAUCCAGCCAUACCGCGUGGGUGAAGAAGGCCUUCGGGUUGUAAAGCCCUUUUGUUGGGAAAGAAAAGCAGCAGGUUAAUACCCCGCUGUUCUGACGGUACCCAAAGAAUAAGCACCGGCUAACUUCGUG
rnacentral:rRNA from 1 species